ACUCAAAUGAAUUGACGGGGGCCCGCACAAGCGGUGGAGCAUGUGGUUCAAUUCGAAGCAACGCGCAGAACCUUACCUGGGCUUGACAUGUUGGAGAACCCUCCGGAAACGGAGGGGUGCCCUUCGGGGAGCUCCUUCACAGGUGCUGCAUGGCUGUCGUCAGCUCGUGUCGUGAGGUGUUGGGUUAAGUCCCGCAACGAGCGCAACCCCUGUCACUAGUUGCCAACGGAUCAAGCCGGGCACUCUAGUGAGACUGCCGGUGUUAAGCCGGAGGAAGGUGGGGACGACGUCAAGUCCUCAUGGCCCUUAUGCCCAGGGCUACACACGUGCUACAAUGGUCGGUACAGAGGGCUGCCAACCCGCGAGGGGGAGCAAAUCCCAAAAAGCCGACCUCAGUUCGGAUUGGAGUCUGCAAUUCGACUCCAUGAAGGCGGAAUCGCUAGUAAUCGCGGAUCAGCACGCCGCGGUGAAUACGUUCCCGGGCCUUGUACACACCGCCCGU
rnacentral:rRNA from 1 species